CUCCAAACUUCUCUUAAAUAGAGGUUAAGUUGUAAGAUGUGUAUUAACACAGUCACCAAAAAGAAAAAAACAGUGAAAACUCGUGAACUGACAGGCAUGGGGACAUCUGUCUGAACCCUGGUGCAGGCGCUAACCUCAGAGGCAAGAGCCAAAGUGUGAAGCCCUUUCCAGAGGCAGCAGGAACACCUUCAGGAAGCUCAGUAGCCUCAGGUCGGCAAGGCGCCAUCUUCACACUUCCACAUGGAACGAGAGUGAGGUGUGAGCUGCAGUCAUCGCUGGUAGCUGUCAGCAUCAUUGGAUAGAUCUCGAAGACAUCUCUACGGUGACUCGGAUGCUGACUGCCAGUGUCAGCUCUCGUCGAGUGUCUAUUGUGUGCUUUGACAC
rnacentral:lncRNA from 1 species